ACCUGAAAACAGCAUGUAGCUUUUCUUUAGCGUCUCACAUCACACUUUCAGUCACUAUGACCACUACGCUCAGAAACUUUGAUUGUACUCAAAUA